UACGGAGGGGGCUAGCGUUGUUCGGAUAUACUGGGCGUAAAGCGCACGUAGGCGGCGCAGCAAGUCAGGGGUGAAAUCCCGGAGCUCAACUCCGGAACUGCCUUUGAAACUGCAGUGCUAGAAUCCUGGAGAGGCGAGUGGAAUUCCGAGUGUAGAGGUGAAAUUCGUAGAUAUUCGGAGGAACACCAGUGGCGAAGGCGACUCGCUGGACAGGUACUGACGCUGAGGUGCGAAAGCGUGGGGAGCAAACAGG
rnacentral:rRNA from 1 species